UGGGGAAUAUUGGACAAUGGGCGAAAGCCUGAUCCAGCAAUGCCGCGUGAGUGAUGAAGGCCUUAGGGUUGUAAAGCUCUUUUACCCGGGAAGAUAAUGACUGUACCGGGAGAAUAAGCCCCGGCUAACUCCGUGCCAGCAGCCGCGGUAAUACGGAGGGGGCUAGCGUUGUUCGGAAUUACUGGGCGUAAAGCGUACGUAGGCGGUGAUUCAAGUCAGAGGUGAAAGCCCGGAGCUCAACUUCGGAAUAGCCUUUGAAACUAGAUCGCUUGAACGUCGGAGAGGUGAGUGGAAUUCCGAGUGUAGAGGUGAAAUUCGUAGAUAUUCGGAAGAACACCAGUGGCGAAGGCGGCUCACUGGACGACUGUUGACGCUGAGGUACGAAAGCGUGGGGAGCAAACA
rnacentral:rRNA from 1 species